GUAGGUGAACCUGCGGAAGGAUCAUUAGUGAAUAACGUGGGUGUCUUCGCUUCGGCAAGGCAUCUGCACCUUUACAUCCAUAACACCUGUGAACUGUAAGAUGUGGUGAUUCGUUGCCCAUCUGACCUUUUUAUCAAACAUCAGUAGUAAUAAAAGUAGUUAUAUUAUAAUCUAAUAAAACUUUCAACAACGGAUCUCUUGGCUCUC
rnacentral:misc_RNA from 1 species